UAGAGAUAGCAGCUGAAACUAUUUUCUAGGGGCCGAGUGACAGUGAAGAGCAGACUUUGUGUACGUGAAGCUAAUAAAGGAAUGAGAUCUCCUGGAGCUAUGGCAUUUGGGAUUGCUAAGGAGGGAUUGAGCAAGGUGCGUGGAGACCUGAAUUGCUCAUUCAACCUCUGUCAGCCCCAUUUUCUGCAAACAGAAAACACUAAAUGCCUAAGCACACAAUUGAAACAAAAUGGAAAUUCUGCUCCAUGAUAGACUGGAGGAGGCAGAAAUCACUGUGUGCUGGAUUGAGCAAGGAAGCCUUCCUGCAGGAGGCGUAACUCGAAAUGGCGCUUAAAGAAUGGGAGGAGAGAGACCUAAAGACCCCAGAUUUGCGGACAUCUCUGCCAACCCUGUGUCCUUGUCACGAGGUACUGAGAUGGAAUAAAUUAUUUUCGCCAGUUGGGAACUUGAUCCAGACAUUCUAUAUGUUGCAAGCCUUAAAAAAAUCAAGAACAAGAAAAUAUCCUGCACGAGGACGGGAGCGCGUGGUGUGAGCAGCUGGAGCACACUCUGGGCGCGCAGGCGGCUCCCGGACUUCAACGGGAGCGCUAGCGUGUGGAUAUAUGGCUGUGCAAAUCCAUGCAAAACUGAUUGUGAUACUGUGUUUCUUCUGUGGCCCUACCUUCUCACGAAUCUCCAGUCUUCGCACGAAUCUCCAGUCUUCACACCCAUUCAUUCAUGGGUGGGGAUUUGUUGCACUGCUUGUGUUAUAUAUAAAGUAUUGCACUUGUCCCGGCCUGUGGAAGAAACGAGGAAUUUAUCAUCUUUUUUUCAUGUUUAAAGGUUGUAAGUUCUGAUAUUUGAUCAUUGUAAAAUGACCUGUUUUGCUGUUGUCGGGUGGAUCACGAUGCAAUUUUGAUUAGUUUAAUAGGAGAAAAAUUGCACGGUAUCCAUCUGCGAACCGCAGGACCCUUGUUGACAACAGUCUGUUGGUACUUAAGUAAGAUGUCCUUUCUCUAGUUAACUGCAGUUAAAAAAUGUUCUGAAACACAUCUGGAGUUUUAAAAAUGAUAACAGUUUUUAAAAUAAAAUAUUUGAAAUCAAGGUUUAUUUUGGCAGUUGGGUGAAGGAGCAGAUUGUUACUGAAUGUAAAUGGACAUUUAAAUGUAAAUUUGCAAAAUAAAAGAUAUUUAUAGAUCUGGAAAAAA